AUUGAACGCUGGCGGCAGGCCUAACACAUGCAAGUCGAACGGUAACAGGAAGCAGCUUGCUGCUUCGCUGACGAGUGGCGGACGGGUGAGUAAUGUCUGGGAAGCUGCCUGAUGGAGGGGGAUAACUACUGGAAACGGUAGCUAAUACCGCAUAAUGUCGCAAGACCAAAGAGGGGGACCUUCGGGCCUCUUGCCAUCGGAUGUGCCCAGAUGGGAUUAGCUUGUUGGUGGGGUAACGGCUCACCAAGGCGACGAUCCCUAGCUGGUCUGAGAGGAUGACCAGCCACACUGGGACUGAGACACGGUCCAGACUCCUAGGGGAGGCAUCAGUGGGGAAUAUUGCACAAUGGGCGAGAGGCGGAUGCAGCCAUGCCGCGUGUAUGAAGAAGGCCUUCGGGUUGUAAAGUACUUUCAGCGGGGAGGAAGGGAGUAAAGUUAAUACCGUUGCUCAUUGACGUUACCCGAAAAAGAAGCACCGGCUAACUCCG
rnacentral:rRNA from 1 species